rnacentral:rRNA from 1 species
CCUACGGGGGGCAGCAGUGAGGAAUAUUGGUCAAUGGACGAGAGUCUGAACCAGCCAAGUAGCGUGAAGGAUGACUGCCCUAUGGGUUGUAAACUUCUUUUAUAUGGGAAUAAAAUGUUCCACGUGUGGGAUUUUGUAUGUACCAUAUGAAUAAGGAUCGGCUAACUCCGUGCCAGCAGCCGCGGUAAUACGGAGGAUCCGAGCGUUAUCCGGAUUUAUUGGGUUGAAAGGGAGCGUAGGGGGAUUGUUAAGUCAGUUGUGAAAGUUUGCGGCUCAACCGUAAAAUUGCAGUUGAAACUGGCAGUCUUGAGUACAGUAGAGGUGUGCGGAAUUCGUGGUGUAGCGGUGAAAUGCUUAGAUAUCACGAAGAACUCCGAUUGCGAAGGCAGUUCACUGGACUGCAACUGACACUGAGGCUCGAAAGUGUGGGUAUCAAACAGGAUUAGAUACCCGAGUAGUC